CGGCUCCCUCUUGGGCGAAUGGAUAUCAAAGAUGAUCCCCGCGUCAGCAAAACCAAGGGCCGAGCUGUCAGUAAAUUCCUCCUGAAACAGAAACUCGCGUUUACUCAAGGCACAGCAUUUUCGGGAGCAUGUCUGUACCAUGGAGAACAGCCUCACCAUCUUCUAUUUGAGCAACACCCAGGACUCUGCCCUUGGCCCUGCUCUUCCGCUCCUCCAUCCAGAGAUUAAUCCUGGGACCUUCGCUUUCUGUCACCUCUCAUGCAACACAGCAAGCACAGAAACAAUGAAAGCUGCUUGAAGAUGACACAGGUGCUCUUUGGAACAGGCUGUUUGUUGGUGAAUGAGAAGAAAUAAAAUAUUUCAUUUUGUGAAGUUGUUUUUCUUUCAGAAGGACUGUGCUACAAAAAUAGGCCAUGGAAAUUUCUUUUCUCUCUACUUCCUUAUGUAGCUAUUUGAAAUAGGAAAUGUAUCUCGUGUAUAUUCCACAGCUCCUGAUAUUAUAAUACUAGAUAUCACAAGGCAGAGCCAAUGAAAUAUCACAGCUGAGUAAA